rnacentral:rRNA from 1 species
AGUUUGAUCCUGGCUCAGGAUGAACGCUAGCUACAGGCUUAACACAUGCAAGUCGAGGGGCAGCAUGAACUUAGCUUGCUAAGUUUGAUGGCGACCGGCGCACGGGUGAGUAACACGUAUCCAACCUGCCGAUGACUCGGGGAUAGCCUUUCGAAAGAAAGAUUAAUACCCGAUGGCAUAGUUCUUCCGCAUGGUGGAACUAUUAAGGAAUUUCGGUCAUCGAUGGGGAUGCGUUCCAUUAGGUUGUUGGCGGGGUAACGGCCCACCAAGCCUUCGACGGAUAGGGGUUCUGAGAGGAAGGUCCCCCACAUUGGAACUGAGACACGGUCCAAACUCCUACGGGAGGCAGCAGUGAGGAAUAUUGGUCAAUGGACGAGAGUCUGAACCAGCCAAGUAGCGUGAAGGAUGACUGCCCUAUGGGUUGUAAACUUCUUUUAUACGGGAAUAAAGUGAGGCACGUGUGCCUUUUUGUAUGUACCGUAUGAAUAAGGAUCGGCUAACUCCGUGCCAGCAGCCGCGGUAAUACGGAGGAUCCGAGCGUUAUCCGGAUUUAUUGGGUUUAAAGGGAGCGUAGGCGGACGCUUAAGUCAGUUGUGAAAGUUUGCGGCUCAACCGUAAAAUUGCAGUUGAUACUGGGUGUCUUGAGUACAGUAGAGGCAGGCGGAAUUCGUGGUGUAGCGGUGAAAUGCUUAGAUAUCACGAAGAACUCCGAUUGCGAAGGCAGCCUGCUGGACUGUAACUGACGCUGAUGCUCGAAAGUGUGGGUAUCAAACAGGAUUAGAUACCCUGGUAGUCCACACAGUAAACGAUGAAUACUCGCUGUUUGCGAUAUACAGUAAGCGGCCAAGCGAAAGCGUUAAGUAUUCCACCUGGGGAGUACGCCGGCAACGGUGAAACUCAAAGGAAUUGACGGGGGCCCGCACAAGCGGAGGAACAUGUGGUUUAAUUCGAUGAUACGCGAGGAACCUUGCCCGGGCUUGAAUUGCAACUGAAUGAUGUGGAGACAUGUCAGCCGCAAGGCAGUUGUGAAGGUGCUGCAUGGUUGUCGUCAGCUCGUGCCGUGAGGUGUCGGCUUAAGUGCCAUARCGAGCGCAACCCUUAUCGAUAGUUACCAUCAGGUGAUGCUGGGGACUCUGUCGAGACUGCCGUCGUAAGAUGUGAGGAAGGUGG